rnacentral:rRNA from 1 species
AGCAGCCGCGGUAAUUCCAGCUCCAAUAGCGUAUAUUAAAGUUGUUGCAGUUAAAAAGCUCGUAGUUGAAUUUCGGGAUCAAUCUAUCGGUCGUGCAAUAGUACGUACUGAUUUUAUUGAUUCCUCCCUUCUGAUGAACUAUGAUGUCAUUAAUUUGGUGUCAUAGGGAAUCAGGACUGUUACUUUGAAAAAAUUAGAGUGUUUAAAGCAGGCUCACGCUUGAAUACAUUAGCAUGGAAUAACGAAAUAGGACGUUUGAUUCUAUUUUGUUGGUUUCUAGGAUCGACGUAAUGAUUAAUAGGGAUAGUUGGGGGCAUUAGUAUUCAAUUGUCAGAGGUGAAAUUCUUGGAUUUAUUGAAGACUAACUACUGCGAAAGCAUUUGCCAAGGAUGUUUUCAUUAAUCAAGAACGAAAGUUAGGGGAUCGAAGACGAUCAGAUACCGUCGUAGUCUUAACCGUAAACUAUGCCGACUAGGGAUCGGAUGAUGUUAAUUUUUAAUGACUCAUUC